rnacentral:rRNA from 1 species
CACGUAGGGCGCAAGCGUUGUCCGGAAUUAUUGGGCGUAAAGAGCUCGUAGGCGGUCUGUUGCGUCCGCUGUGAAAACUCGGGGCUUAACCCCGAGCCUGCAGUGGAUACGGGCAGACUAGAGGUAGGUAGGGGAGAAUGGAAUUCCCGGUGUAGCGGUGAAAUGCGUAGAUAUCUGGAGGAACACCGGUGGCGAAGGCGGCAUCCUGGACCGACAUUGACGCUGAGGAGCGAAAGCCAGGGGAGCAAACGGG